rnacentral:rRNA from 1 species
UACGUAGGGUGCGAGCGUUGUCCGGAAUUACUGGGCGUAAAGGGCUUGUAGGUGGCCAACUAAGUCAGACGUGAAAUCCCUCGGCUUAACCGGGGAACUGCGUCUGAUACUGGAUGGCUAGAGUUUGGGAGAGGGAUGCGGAAUUCCAGGUGUAGCGGUGAAAUGCGUAGAUAUCUGGAGGAACACCGGUGGCGAAGGCGGCAUCCUGGACCAACACUGACACUGAAAAGCGAAAGCCAGGGGAGCAAACGGG